AUCCGCACCCACUGCACUCUGGCCUGGGCGACAGAGUGAGACCCUGUCUUGAAAAAAAAAGGAGGGGAUUCUAAAAAGAUGGAGCACCCCGUCUCUUGUAGGAUCCUAAAUAAUUUUGAUAUUUUGAUAUUAACCAUCAAUUAAACGUUUUGUUUUCUUAAGAUGGGAAGUUUUUGAAUAAAAUAUUGGUGAAAAUAUGUAUUGUUAAGCUGUAUAUUCAAGUAAAUUUCAAGCACCAUGUUGCUUUGAUAAUGUAAAAGAUGUGAAAUUUUUAAGUGAUGUGUUUGUUUUUUACUUUAACAAAAUGCCGCACAGUAAAACUAUAAUUCUGAUAGUAGAACUGGUGAGUAAUUAUAUAUGAAAAUUUCUGCAAAUAUACAAAUUCAGAUCACAGUAUUUUGGCAUUUUUCUUUCAUUAUCUGACUGUUGCAGGAAUCCAGGCCAUGCUGUAGAGGGGAAAAGCUUAGGCUUUUGGAAUCAUACUGCAGCAUCACUUAACAGUUGUGUGACUUUGGGUGCCUUAUUUAACCUUGAUGAACUUCUGCUUAUCUCUGUAAACUGCGCAUAAUAGUAUGGACUUUAGUGUUAUUGUAAGGAUUCCAUGAGAUUAAGUAAAUGAACCUUGGCAUGGCUUUGAGCUUUUACUGUGGUUCUUUAAUAGCAGAUUUCAGGGUGGAAUGUACUCAGGAGCAUCAGACACCAGGGAUAGUGGUGGAUGCAGGGUGUGAUUGAUGUUGCUUGUUAAAUAUUUUAAUUUUUGCAUAGAGAUUUUUUCUGUGAUCCAUUUCCCCACUAUCCUUAGAAAGAUGGUUUAGAGAGAAUCCAGAGGGAUUGAAUUAUUAGAAAGCUCAAGAUAACUUUAGGUGGGGGUGGGGACCUUGAGGUUACAGUUACAGUGAGGCUUCAGUGUGGCUGCAAGAAGACUGAGUUCAAAGUCCUGACCUGCAGUCUAAUUCAGCUUCCUCUGCUCACUGUACACUCUUCAGCUCCUUUGCUAGCCACACUCGGUGACAUUGAAGCUGUGCAGCCCGAUAAAAGGAGUUUUCACAGACUGACACGGGGACUAACUUUGGCUCCACCACUUGUCAGCCAUGUGUCUUUGGGCAGGUUAUGUAAACCUUCCGAGCCACAGGUUCCGUGUUUGUUUAAGAGGGAGAUAAUAGUUACUUGGCAUGAUUGUUGUGAGGAUGAAAUGAGAUCAUGGAUAUUAAGUUGCCAGCAAAGAGCCCCAUACUACACAAUCAGUGCUUGACCCGUGGUAGGUAAUUAUUAAAAUAGCUGCUUGGCCUCCCUUGCUGUGAACAGUGUGUAAGAGUGCUUUGAAAUCUGUAAAACAUGAGUUAGUAGCAUUUAUUUGAAAAUACAAGCAUGAUUCCUUGCUUGUGUGUAUGGGAUGUCAAAGUUUCUUUUAAAAUUCCUGUUAUACCACCAUAUCUGAUGUCAAAUAACAGUUGCUCUCUUCUUUACUACUGGACAAUUCUUAAAACAGUAGCUUUUAAGCUAAGUAUUUUAUUCCGUGGUAACUCUAAUCAGGGAGCUACAUUUCAGAAUCAUGUGUAGCCAUAGAAGCACUCUAUUGUCUGAUUGCUCAUUGCAUUGGUUUCCUGAGGGCAGUGUUGGGUCCCUCUUGUUUGGCCCUGAGUCCUCUCUCAUACCUGACACACACUGCAGCAUGAGGAAAUAAAUGUGUGUUUGAAUAGGGAAUAUGGGGAAUAGGCCAAGAUGAAAUUGUGAUAUUUUACCUUUUUUCCUCCUAGGUUAAGUAGAUCACUGUUCUCUUGAUAUAUGCAGCUUUGCUAGUAAAGUUUAAUUUUCCGGUAUAGUCUCUUUUCUUAUGCAAAAGACAACUCUUAACAAAAUACUUGGCAAUUUGAGCAUGCUGUGCCUCUGACAACAUUUCCUUUGCCAGAAGAAGCCAUCUUUUAUGCAGUCAUCACCUCCCACCAGAACCUGACUAUGCCCUCCUUCCUGCCUUAUCUCAGCUUCAACAUCAGUUUCUCCAAUGUUUCCUUCCCCUCCCCUCCCCACCUUCCCCCCUCUCCCUUCCCCUCUUCUUCCCUCCCCUCUUCCUUUUCUGAGACAGGGUCAUUUCUUUUGCCCAGGCGAGAGUGGGGUGGCACAAACUCGACUCACUGCAGCCUCCACCUCCUGGGUUCAGGCAAUUCUUGUGACUCAGCCUCCCAAAUAGCUGAGAUUACAAGCAUGCACCACCACACUGGCUAAUUUUUGUAUUUUUUGUAGAGACAGGGUUUUGCUAUGUUGGCCAGGCCGAUUUCGAACCCCUGGCCUCAAGUGAUCCGCCUAUCUCAGCCUCCCAAAGUUCUGGGAUUAUAGGCAUGAGCCACUGCACCCGGCCUCUGAUGUUUUCUCUGGCUCUCUUUGUAGGGUAUUGAACCUCAUUCUCUGUGCUUUCAUAGCAUCUUGUAUACCUUAUUAUAUUGUUUUCACAGAUAGACUGUAAACUCUUUGAGAGUAGGGACCAUGUCUCAGUCACCAUUGCGUUUUUAGUGCGUAAAGUGGUAGUGUCUGACAUUAGUAAGUAAAUGUUGAAUAUUUAUUGAAUUGCAUAAAUGAUAUUCAUAGUAUUGUGACUUGGAAAUGCCUUUUUGCAUGUGAUGGAUGUAACUAAUGUCUCUGCUCUUUAGCUGUGAUUUCUAAAAUUAUGCAGAUGUUUCACUGAAAGACGGUGUGAAAUUUGUUCUUUAUAAUGGUGAUUCUAAUGAUAAGAAGGACCCAGGGUAUCUGAUGUGCUGCAAAUCCUAUUAAUUUUUUUUUUUUUUUGAGACGGAGUCUUGCUCUGUCACCCAGGCUGGAGUGCAGUGGUGCGAUCUCGGCUCACUGCAACCUCCACCUCCCAGGUUCAAGCGAGUCUCCUGCCUCAGCCUCCCGAGUAGCUGGGACUACAGGUGCGUGCCUCCACUCCCGGCUAAUUUUUGUUUUGUAUUUUUAGUAGGGACAGGGUUUCACCGUGUUAGACAGGAUGGUCUCGAAUGCCUGACCUUGUGAUCUGCACUCUUCGGCCUUCCAAAGUGCUGGGAUUACAAGCAUGAGCCACCGCGCCCGGCCCCUAUUAAUGUUAUCUUAAACAAAUUACUUAUUCAUUUCAGUGGAAACAGAGCGCCUCUUAGGUCAAUAAUGUAACAUUGAGAAAAUCAUUAAAUGCCUAUUUAUAUAGCAGCUUAUAAUGGCUUCUUUGGCUCUGUUACAAACUAUUUCUGAUUUACAUUUAAGGAGUUGCUUUUUAACUGACACUUUUUUUUUUCUUUGAGUAUUACUAAUUUUAAUCAAGAUUUUUAAAGCCAUUUUUGACUUUUUUUGGGAGACUGGGUUUCACUCUGUUGCCCAAGCUGGAGUGUGGUGGCAUGAUUAUAACUCACUGCAGCCUCGAACUCCUGGGCUCAAGCAGUCCUCUUGCCUCAGCCUCUUGAGUAGCCAGGACUAUAGGUGUGCACUCACCACACCCUGCUAAUUUUUUCAAAAUUUUCUUGUAGAGAUGGGGCCUUGCCAUGUUGCUCGGCUGGUCUUGAACUCUUGGCCUCAAGCCGUCCUCUCUCCUUGGGUUCCCAAAGUGCUGGGAUUACAAGUGUGAGCCACUGUGCCUGGCUAUUUUCGACAUUUUGAAUAUGAAAGUUCUCUUUUAUAGGAACCCUUUUUAUACUAACUACUAAAACCCGUCUACUGAGUGCCAUUCGGUUUCUGUUGCUUUUCAUUUGCUGCUGCUGGGAAGCGGUUCCCUGCUGGCUUUGGGGUGUUUGGAUACGUGGUAACCCAUACAAGCUGUGCAUUUAGCAUUAUUCCCCCUCUGGCUCUUCAGAUGAAGCAGUACAUGGCCAGUGUGGGACUUGGUGCCAUGGAAAGACCACUUACCUUCACCAUUUGAGAAUUUUUCUCAAAGUAGUCAAGCAGGAAAUCUUUUUUUUUCUUUUUUUUUUUUUUGAGACAGGGUCUCUCUCUGUUGCCCAGGCUGAAGUGCCGUUGUGCGAUCUUGGCUCACUGCAACUUCUGCCUCCUAGGUUCAAGCAAUUCUCCUGCCUCAGCCUCCUGAGUAGCUGGGAUUACAGGUGCACGCCACCACACCUGGCUAAUUUUUGUAUUUUUAGUAGAGACGAGGGUUCACCAUGUUGGUCAGGCUGGUCUCGAACUCCUGACCUCGUGAUCUGCUCACCUCCCAAAGUGCUGGCAUUACAGCGUAAGCCACUGUCCCUGGCCAGGAAUUCAUCUUUAAUGGGCAAAUCUGAAUAGCUUGUUUAUAUUUUGGAUUUUUAUAUUUCUAAUGUAGUUUUAUUAAAUGGGGAAGAGCUCAACAAUAUUUCAAAUGUAGUAGAACUUUCUAGCCAUACUCUCAAUAUUUAGACAUUGUUUUGAGUGUCUUUAAAUGCAUCGUAGGACAUUGUGUCUCUGAAUAUAAUUUUUAUAGAAAUGGCUUUAGAAAAAGAGCUUUUUCACAUAUUUUGAAAGCUGGAGAUUGGAACACACACAGUAGAUACUGUAAGAAACUUUUUAAAAGCAGAAAUUGAUAAAGACACUUUAGAAGAGGCAGGAACUCAACAGUUAUUUUGGGUCAUAAAAAGUUACCCAGUAAUUAUAAAUAAAAUAAAAGCCCAAAUUCAGAUAGUUGUAUGAAUUCCUGAUACCCUGCCUUAGAAGCUUUUUCAGGAUGAUUUUUGGGAUGAGGGAAGACACUUGGCUUUGCCUCAGUCUAAAUUAUUGAGUGUGCUUAUGUUAAAUUGUGUUUUUAAAAAGCACAGCUUUUGAUUAUGCUGAACAGAUAAAUAUUAGAAUUGUAGAGACAACUCUUUCAGGAUGAUUGUUCAGCCCUGAAUUUGCUAAAAGGCUGCUUAUAACUUUGAACUUUACCUGUGCUUUUUAUUAUCCUUUUGAUGUUUGCAGAAUCUGUAGUGAUAACUGGUUUUUAUUCGUGAUAUUACUCAUUUGUGUCUCAUUUUUCCUUGUUCAUUCCAGUCAGCUGUUACCAUUUUGUUGAUCUCUCUCAAGAACGCUUUUGGCUGUGUUCGUUUCUCUGUAUUGUUUGAUAUUGUCUAUUUUGUUGGUUUCUGUUUUUUUUCUCCUUUUACUUGCUUGGGUUUACUUUGCUCUUCUUUUCUCAGUUUCUUGAGCUAGAACCGUAUGUGAUUGGUUCUUCUUUUCUUCUUUUUUCUAAAUUCUUUUUAAAAAAUUUAAGCCUGGCGUCCUCGAGGUUGUUGGUAGGUCAACAUAUUAAUAUCUUACUGAUUAGCCAGUGAUUGGUAAGAGGUGGUGCUGAAACACCUUGAGCUGGUAAAGCUUUAACCCUUUGCCAGCUAAGUUAGGGAACAGACUCAACAUUCCGGCAGCUUACAAGUCUGCCCCAAUGUUUACUUUUGUCUGGACCUCUGUCCUCUGUGGGCGCACAGGCCUUAUGGUCAGCUAGCUAUGUGUACAUAGCUAAGACUCUGCAAGUCAUUGACUUGAACCAUUUUCCUUUUCUAACAGAAGCAUUUAAAGCUAUAAAUUAUCCUCUAAGUACUGCGUUAGUUGUAUGUUAACUGUUUAUUUAUACGUAUGUUUUAAAUAUCAUUAAGUUGGAAAAGUUUUGUGAUUUCUUCUUUGAUCCUGGAUUAUUUAGAAAUGUGUUGUUUCAUUUCCAAAUGCUUAGGAUUUCGUUAGAUUUCUUGUUACUAAUUUAUAAUUUCAUUCUGUUGUGACUAAAGAUUUCAAUAGGAUUUCAGUCCUCUUAAAUUUACCAGAAUUUCCUUUAUAGUCAAGCAUAAGGUCUAUGUUUUUGAACAUACUGUGUGCACUUAAAAAGAACAUCAAUAUUGGUUAGUCUUAUUCAUAUAUCCUGCAUCCUUUUUUUGAUGUUUUUCUUUGAGACAGAGUCUGGCUCUGUCACCCAGGCCAGAGUAUGAUCUCGGCUCACUGUAACCUCCACCUCCUGGGCUCAAGCCAUCCUCCCACUUCAGCUUCCUGAGUAGCUGGGACUGCAGACACACGCUAGGAUGCCUGGCUAAUUUUUGUAUUUUUUGGUAGAGAUGGAGUUUCACCAUGUUACGCAGGCUGACCUUGAACUGUUGAGCUCAAGCAAUCCUCCCACCUCAGCCUCCCAAAGUGCCGGGAUUACAGGCAUGAGCCACUGUGCCCAGUCUUAUUCUAUAUCUUCACUGACUUUUUUAGAUUUAGUUGUUAUAUCAGUUUUUGAGAAGGGUUAAAAUCGCCUGUGAUUGUAGAAUUGUCUGUUUACCCUUUUAAUCUUGUCAAUUUUCAUGUCAUGUAUUUUGUGGCUGUAUUAUUAGGGGCAUACGUAUUUAUGAUUGUUUUGUCUUUCUGAUAAACUGGCCUCUUUAUAAAAUGUUCUCCUUUAUCUUUUGUAAUACUAUUAUUUUUAAGUCUACCUUAUCUGAUAUUAUAAUCACUUCAUCCUCCUUAUGUUUUUUAUAUUUGCCUGGUAUAUUCUUUUAUUAUUAUUUUUCUUUUUGAUACAGAGUCUCAUUCUGUUGCCCAGGCAGGAGUGCAGUGGUGCGGUCUCAGCUUACUGCAACCUCCACCUCCUGGCUUUAAGUGAUUCUCCUGCCUCAGCCUCCUGAGUAGCUGAGAUUACAGGUGUGUGCCACCAUGCCCAACUAAUUUUUGUAUUUUUAGUAGAGACAGGGUUUUGCCAUGUUGCCCAGGCUGAUCUCGAUCUCCUUGCCUCAAGUGACCCACCUGCAUUGACCUCCGAAAGUGCUGAGAUUACAGAUGUGAGCCGCCACACCCAGCCAAACUGGUCUUUUCCUUCUAUUUAUUCUAGACCUAUCUGUGUAUACACAAAGUGAGUCUCUUGUAGACAGUGUAUAGCUUGGUUUUGGUUUUCUUUUUUUUGAGAUGGAGUCUUGCUCUGUCACCCAGGCUAGAGUGCAAUGGCAUGAUCUUGGCUCACCGCAACCUCCACCUCCCGGGUUCAAGCGAUUCUCCUGCCUCUGCCUCCCAAGUAGCUGGGAUUACAGGCAUGCACCCCCAUGCCUGGCUAAUUUUGUAUUUUUAGUAGAGACGGUUUCUCCAUCUUGGUCAGGCUGGUCUUGAACUCCCGACCUCAGGUGAUCUUCCCGCGUUGGCCUCCCAAAGUGCUGGGAUUACAGGCGUGAGCCACCGUGCCCAGCCGGGUUUUGCUUUUUUAUUUCUUCUGUUGACUCUGAAAUUUAAUUGGAGUAUUUAGUCCAAUUUAAUGUCCUUAUUGAUAUGGUUAGGUCUGUCAUUUUAAAAUUUGCUUUUUGUUUGCUUUCUCUGUGUUUUGUUCUUUUGUAUACCCCCUUUUCUGCCUUCUUUUGGAUUAUUUGAAUUUUUAAAAAGAAUUCUGUUUUAAUUUCUCUGCUGGCUUUUUUGUUUUAUCUUUUUGCAUUAUUUUUAGUGGUUGCUUUACAAAUUUAAAUAUCUAUCCAUAACUUUUAACAGUCUUCUCAGAGUUCAUAUUAUACCAUUUCACAUAGAAUGUAGAGACCUUACAAUCAUAUAGGUUCAUUUACAACCAUUCCUUGUAGUCUUUUAGGCUUUAAUUGGGCAUAUGUAUUACAUCUGCAUUCAUUAUAAAUCCCAGAAAGUGGUGUUACAAUUUUACUUUAAACUCUCUAUGUAUUUUAAGAAAUAAGGAGAAGAAAAUAUUUAGUCAGAUAUUUACCAUUUUCAGUGUUCCUCAUUCAUGCCUGAAGAUCCAGGUUUCUUUUUUGGUAUCCUUUUCCUUCAGCUUUGUGAAUUUACUUUAGUAUUUCUUGUAUUGAUGGUUUGGUUGGCAGCUGAUUCUCUAAUUUUUUCUUUAUCUGAAAAUGUCUUUAUUUUGCCUUUAUUCACACAGGAUAUUUUCACUGGAUAUAGAAUUCUGGGUUUUUCUUUCAGUGUUUUAAAGCUGUAGUUCCACUGUCUUCUGGCCUCCAUGGUUUAAGAUGAGAUGUUUGUGUCAUUUGAAUUGUCAUUUUCCUGUAUAUAAUGUGUUAAUUUUCUCUGGUUAUUUUCAACAUUUUCUAUUUACGAUUGGUUUUAGCAGUUUGAAUAUAAUGCACGUAGGCGUAGCUUUCUUUGCAAUUGUCCUGUUGGGGUUGGCUGAACUUAUUGAGUCUAUAAAUUCAUAGUUUUCACAGGAUUUGGGAAGUUUUUAGACAUUAUUCAAAUAAUCUUUGUGUUCCAUAUUCUCUUUCUUCUCCUCUGAGACUCCAGGUACCCACAUGUAGGAGAUCUUUUGAUGUUUUGGUAUUUCCUAAUGCUCUGUUCCUUUUUUCUGUGUUCGUUUCUUUGUCUUCUUCAGGUUAUAUAUUUUCUGUCUAUCCACAGGAUCACUGACUCUUUCCUCUGACAUCAUUUUUCUGCUAUUAAGCCCAUCCAGUGAAUUUUUAUUGCAUAUAUUGUAUACUUUAGUUAUGUAUUUUCAUUCAGUUUAUUUUUUCUGUUUCUCUGUAGAGAGUUUCUUUUAUUUCAUUUGGAGCCUAUGUUUCUGUUUUCUUUUCUUUUUUUUUUUAAUUUUUUUGAGUUCCUGGCCACUUAGUCUUUAUUUCUUUACCUCAUUGAACAUAGUUAUAAUAGGUUGUUUAAAGUCCUUGUCUACUGGCUGUGGUGGUGCACAUUUUUAUUCCCAGCUACUAGGGAGGCUAUGGUGGAAGGAUUGCUUGAGCCCAGUUUGAGGCUGUAAUGAGCUGUAACUGUACCACUCCACUCCAGCCUGAGAGAUACAGCGAGACCCUGUCUCUUAAAAAAGUUAAAAAAAGAAGAAAAAAAAAAAAGCCCAGGUGUGUUGGCUCAUGACUGUAAUCAUAGUACUUGUAGAGGCAAAGGAGGGAAGAUUACUGGAGCGUAGGAGUUUGAGACCAGCCUGGGCAACAUAGUGAGACCCUGUCUCUACUAAAAAUAAACAAAAUUAGUCAGGCAUGGUGGCAUGUACCUGUAGUCCCAGCUACUUAGGAGGCUGAGGUGAGAGGAUCCCCUGAGCUCAGGAGGUCAAGGUUGCAUUGAACCAAUAUCACGCCACUGCACUCCAGCCUGGGUGACAGUGCAAGACCCUGUCUCAAAAAAAAAUCAUUCUCUAAUAAUUCCAACAUCUGCAUCAUCUGAGGGUUGUUGAUACCUGUUGUUGGGAUGGUUUCCCUUGAGAAUGGGUCAUGUUUUCCUGGUUCUUUGUAUAUUGAGUAAUUUGGGAUUGAGUAAUUUCAUUGGUUUCCUGGACAUUGUGAAUGUUCUCUUGUGGAGACUCUGGAUUUAGUUACAUUCCUUAGAAGAAUGUUGAUAUUUGUAUUUUAAUUUCAGCAGGUAAUUGGCCUGGUGCAGUGGCUCACGCCUGUAAUUCCAGCACUUUGGGAGGCUGAGGUGGGUGGAUCACUUGAGGUCAGGAGUUUGAGACCAGCCUGGCCAGCAUGGUAGAAUCCCGUCUCUACUAAAAAAUAGAAAAAUUAUCUGGACAUGGUAGCAUGUACCUGUAAUCCCAGCUACUCAGGUGGCUAAGGCAGGAGAAUCACUUGAACCCAGGAGGCAGAGGUUGCAGUGAGCCGAGAUCACACCACUGCACUCCAGCCUGGGUGACAGAGCGAGACUCCAUCUCAAAAAAUAAAUAAAUAAAAAUGAAAAAUAAUUUCAGCAGAUAAUUAACUUUGUUAGACUCAAACUACAAACUUUUUCAUGGCUGUGGUGGGUUGUGGCUCAGAACUUAGCUUAGAUUGCUCCCAGUUUGCCACAUGCAUGGUUUAGGGUCAACCAGAGACUUGGGCUGGGUCUAUAUACCAAUAUGAGUUUCUUCUUCUUCUCUAACUUCCUGUUUUCCAGAAUUCCUUCCUCACUCUCUAUUGCCCCUGUUUGCCCCUAAGCUUCUUCCAUAAGGACUUCCUUACCUUUGAUUUUUUAAAAAGUUAUUUAGUUUCAUGACAUACCCUGCAUGUAGCAUUCAAAACCUGUGCUUUAAAAAAAAAAAAAAAAAAAGAUGUUUCGCCAUGAUGUCCAGGCUGGUCUCAAACCCCUGAGAUCAAGCGAUCCACUUGCCGCAGCCUCCCAAAGUGCUAGGAUUACAGGCAUGAGCCACUGUGUUUGGCCGAAAUCUGUGCUUUUUAGUUGUAACCCUUAUGGCAUCUAUUUUUUUGUUUGUUUUUUCAAGACGGAGUCUUGUCCUGUGGCCCGGGCUGGAGUGCAGUGGCGCGUUCACAGCUCACUGCAGCCUCUACCUCCUGGGCUCAAGCAGUCCUCCUGCCUCAGCCUCCUGAGUAGCUGGGACUACAGAUGUACACCACCAUGCCCAGCUAAUUUUUUAUUUCAUUUAGAGAUAAGGAUUUGCCAUGUUGCCCAGGCUGGUCUUCAAUUCCUGGGCUCAAGCCACCUGCCUGCCUCAGCCUCCAGCAAUCUGCCUGCCUCAGCCUCCUAAAAUCUUGGUAUUACAGCUGUGAGCCACCGUGCCUGGCUGGCACCUAUUUUGUGAUCCAGACCUUCCUUCCAUAUCACAUACCAUGCUUAAACUACUUUAAUAACAUUUUCAGAAAAUCUAAUGUAAAUGCAUCAAAAAGCAUGCCUUUAACUGAUUAAAAGUGACUCAAGUUCAUUUCCUUUCAGAUAUAUAUAUGUAUUAUAUCUGAAAUACAAUAUAUUGAUAUAUAUUUGAUACGCUGUCCAGACAUAGUAGUGUCUUUGCUUCUACCUUUGGUGCCUUUUGUAGUUGGCCAGUGUGUUACUGUUUAUUUAUUCUUGUCACAGAGGAAAUGCACAAAAUAUUCAAUAAAAACCAAAAAAUGAAUAUUUUUCACAUGAAUGUUAAUUUUCCUAAUCUUAAACUGUAUGUAGAAUUCGUUUACAGUAGUGAUCUUGAAUUCUAAAUGUGGCAAUAGAUAAAUGAGUCAAACUAUGGCAUGACUUUUAAAAAUAAGAUUUCUGUUAAGCUUAUUUUGGAGGAGGAUAUAUGAUUUUUAUGCUGUAAGUACAGGAUCCUGGAAAGCAUGUUCAGUUGUCCCUUGGUAUCCAUGGGGGAUUGGUUCCAGGACUCCAUGCAGACUUCAAAAUCCAGGCAUGUUCAAGGCCUUGAUAUAAAAUGCUAUAAUUUUUGCAUAUAACCUGUACAUAUCCUCCUGUAUACUUAAAAACAUCACUAGAUUACUUACAUGCCUAACAAUGCAAAUGCUAUGUAAGUAGUUGUUAUAUUGUAUAUUGUUUAGGAAAAAUGACAAGAAAAAAGUCUGUGUGUUCAGUACAGACGCAAUUUUUUCCCCCAAAUAUUUUCCAUCUGAGUCGGUUAAAUCCACAGAUGGGAAACCCACAGAUAUGGAGGGCUGACAGUAUUUCUUUUUAACAGGCAAGAUUUUUACAACAGUGGCUUAUAAAAUACCUCAGUCUGCUAUAGGAGAAUCAUUAUUAGUAAGACAUGUGAAUGUAUGUUUUGUAUGGAUGGAUACCUUCUGAUUAGAAAACUUGUAAAAGCAACUGACUUGUUUUUCUCUAAAUCACUUAAGUCAUCAAAAGCACCAUGGAAAUGUUUAAUAAUACUGACUGAGAAUCUUAUUGUUUUCUGAUAUCCCUAAUGUGUUCAAUUUGGAGAAUUAGCCGUCUUAUGUAUCUCUGCUACGAAAUGUUCAUCAGACAGAUUUAAGAGCGUGACAAUAACUUGGACUCUCCCUAAUUAGCAUUCUUUAGGGCAUUAACUGGUAUGAGAAUAGAGCAAAAAGCUUUCUGAGUGCCAGAGAAGGAUUCCCAAGUCCUUGAUACAGCAUUAAAGCGGCUGUUGUGUCCUGUGGCAGUUAGAAUGCAGCCAGGAGAAGGGGAGCACUUGUGCUCUGGAGACCGAAGUUUCAUAUUCUGUUACAUUGUUUCUUAUCCAUAUUACUGGCACUUGAUUUUUAUGUUUUAGGGCAGCAGUCUUUGGCACCAGGGACUGGUUUUGUGAAAGACAGUUUUUCCACAGAGCUAGGUGGGAGCAGGGGUAGGGAAUGGUUUUGGGAUGAUUCAAGCACAUUACAUUUAUUGUGUGUUUUAUUUCGGUUAUUAUUACAUUGUAAUAAUGAAAUAAUUAUACAACUCACCAUAAUGUAGAAUCAUUGGGAGCCCUGACCUUGUUUUCCUGCAACUAGACAGUCCCAUCUGGGGGUGAUGGGAGACAGUGACAGAUCAUCAGACAUUAGAUUCUGGGAGUGCACAACCUAGAUUCCUCAUAUGUGCAAUUUACAAUAGGGCUCAUGUUCUUACGGGAAUCUAAUGCUGCCACUGAUCUGACAGGACGUGGAGCUUAGGUGGUAAUGCGAGCGAUGGGGAGUGGCUGUAAAAACAGAUGAAGCUUUGCUAGCUCACCUGCUGCUCAUCUCCUGCUGUGCAGCCUGGUUCCUAACAUGCCAGGGAACAUAGAUCAGUACAGAUUGGCGACUUCGGUUUUAGGGCCUAUGUUAGCUGGACCUAAGAAUGUUUGCUUUAUGAUGCGGUUUCAGAGUAUUGAAUAAAUCUCUCUAAUUUAAUUGCAAUGUCAUUUGUGAAAAAUUGCUUUCAUUGUGCUCUCUCACCCCCUUCAAAAAUUUGAAGUACAUCAAUCUCAUUGAAAAUGUGAAAAAAAGGCCAGGCGUGGUGGCUGACACCUGUAAUCCCAGCACUUUGGGAGGCUGAGGCAGGCGUUAUCACUUGAUGCCAGGAGUUUGAGACCAGCCUGGUCAACAUGGCAAAACCCUGUCUCUACUAACAGUACAAAAAUUAGCUGGGCAUGGUGGCGUUGCACCUGUAGUCCCAGUUACUUGGGAGGCUGAGGCAGGAGAGUUGCUUGAACCCGUGGGGCAAAGGUUGUAGUGAGCCAAGAUCAUGCCCCUGCACUCCAGCCUGGACGACAGAAUGAAACUGUCUCAAAAAAAAAAAAAAAAAAAGUGAAAAAUAUUUGAAAAUACAAGGAAAACAAUUCAGCCAUGAUCUUACAACCUAGUAAUGAAGUAAAAUUUUGGUAUUUCCUGUUUCUUUACUCUGCCUAGAUAAGUAUUUUCAUAUUAUUUCCCCUUUAAUUUUAGUUGACACAUGAUCAUUGUACGUACAUAUUUAUGGGAUUCAGAGUCACAUUUCAAUAUAUGUAUACAGUAUGUAAUGAUCAAAUCAUUAGCAUAUCCAUCAUGUCAAAGAUGUAUUAUAGUUUUGUGUUGUGAACAUUCAAACUUCUCUCUUCUAGCUUUUUGAAAAUAUAUAAUAAAUUAUUAUUUAACCACAUUUACCACAUUCACCUUCCAGUGCUGCCAGAACAUCAGAACACAUUCCUCUUAUCUCACUGUAAUUUUGUAGGCAUUAACCAGCGUCUCUCUAUCCUCCUCUUCCCUCUACCCUUCCGCGCCUUUAAUACUCCCAAUUAUACUCUCUACUUGAGCUCAAAGCUUUUCGGCUCCCACAUACGAAUCAGAACAUGCAUUUGCCUUUCUAUGCCUGCCGUAUUUUGCUUAAGCUAAUGUCUUCUAGGCUCAUCUGUGUUGCCAUAAAUGACAGAAUUUCAUUCUUUUUUUUGGCUAAAUGGUAUUACAUUGUGAUAUAUACCACAUUUUCUUUAUCCACUCAUCUUUUGAUGAACAUUUAGGUUGAUUCCUUAUCUUAGCUAUUGUGAAUAGUGCUGCAGUAAACAUGGGGGUGCAGCGUAUGCCUUUGACUUUGUUUCCUUCAGAUAAAUUUCCACUAGUGGGAUUGCUGAAUUGUAUGGUAGUUCUGUUUCUAAUUUUUUGAGGAACUUCCACGCUGUCUUUCAUAGUAGCCAUCCUAAUUUUCCAUCCCACCAACAGUGUGUAAGAGUUCCCAUUUCUCUACAUCAUCGCCAGUCUGUGUUAUUUUUUUGUCUUUUUUAUAGUAGUCAUUCUGACUGGGUUGAGAUGGUAUCUUACUGUUGUUUUGAUUCACAUUUCCCUGUUGAUUUAGUGAUGUUGAACAUUUUCUUAUGUUUGUUGCCAUUUGUAUGUCUUCUUUUGAGAAAUGCCUUUUCUGUUUCUUUGCCUACUUUUUAAUUGGAUCAUGUGGGUUCUUUGCCAUUGAAUUGUCUGAGUUCUUGUAUAUUCUGAAUAUUAGUCCCUUUUUGGAUAGUUUGCAAAUAUUUUCUCCCAUUCAUCGGGUUGUUUUUCAUUCUGUUGAUUGUUUCUUUUGCUGUGCAGAAGCAUUUCAGUUUAAUAUAGUCUCAUUUUUCUGUUAUUUUAUUGUUGCCUGUGCUUCGAAGUCUUAGCUGUAAAAUCUUUGUCUGGACCAAUGUCUUUUAGCAUUUGUCUAAUGUUUUCUUCUAGUAGUUUUAUAGUUUUGAGUCUUAUGUUUAACAUUUUUAAUACUAAUUGGGCUGAGACUUGAAAUGCAUUUUUGGAUCUGCUUUUUUAAUUAAUCAUGUCACAAGCGUUUCACAUACCACUUAUUUUUAUUAGAAAAAUUUAAAACUACAUAGAAAAGGAAAAAGUUGUUUAAUACCCCUCUCUUUAUUAACAAAGAUAAUUGCAGAUUAAUAUUUGAGAUUUACCUUUCAAUUGUGUAUAUAGUAUUUAAGUGUACGAUACAUCUGCAGGAUCAAGAUCGCACAGCACACUUUAGAAAGCAGGUACCACUGUGCCUUAUUUAGUGCCAUAGUCAUAAUUCACUCUCUGGAAAUACUUUAGGACUCUGGUGAUAAUAGGAAACGCAAAGCAGUGAAAUUAAUCUGCCAGUUUGCUCUUCGGCCACUGAGAAACUAAAUAUAAGGAUCCUUAUUUCUGAGGCUUUUAAUGUUUUGUCGUUGUUUUUGUCAGUAGAUAUAAUGAAAUAGUUGAUUAAUAUUAGCUGUGCUAGUCUUUACAUGUUGACAUUGUUUUCUCGUACAUGAUUCCUGUUCCCUACAACCUCACAGUUUUAAAAAAUGAAAUCUGAUUUUAGCAAAUUUAAAAUAUAAGUGAAAUGUAUUUGGAGGACUUUGUUAUAUAAAUGGCUAAUCCAGAAUAUAAUAUUAUUUUGUAACUAAAAAUGUUACCAAUAAAUCUUUCAGGGUGAUGGAACUAUAGAUGGAUUUUAUGUUCUUAUGUUUUCUUCUAUUUUCUGAUUUUUCCAUAGUGAAUAAUGUGUAAUACAAUUUUUAAAUUUAAGACUAAAAAAGCAUUAUAUGCUUUUUUAUUUUUUAAAUAAGUAAAGGAACACAGCAAAGGGAAACAUCUUGCUUUUAAAACUCUUAAUAUGGCUAGCAGAGUACAGUAGUCCCUCCUUAUCCAUGGAGGAUACAUUCCGAGACUCCAAGUAGAUGCCUGAAGCUGGAGAUGGUAUGAAAGCCUGUAUGUACUCUGUUUUUCCUAUACAUACAUACCUAUGAUAAAGUUAAAUUUAUAAAUUAGGCACAGGAAGAGAUUAACAAUAAUAACCGACAAUGAAACAGAACAUUUAUAACAAUAUUCUUAAUAAAAGCUAUGUGUAUGUGCUCUGUUUUUCUCAAAAUAUCUUAUCAUACUCUACUGUAGGAAACAAACUUUGGAAAGCAAAAUCAUAGAUAAGGGGGAACUAACUGUAGCCCUGUUUUUGUUGCUGACUGUAAUUAUUUUAUGGCAUUGUUUUUUCUAAUCAUGAAAUGUAUAGCAUUAGUUUCUCUGAAUUUUCCAUCAACUUUUUGGUUUAAAUCUGCUAUUCUGAAAAAGAAUCUAUUAAACAUUUUUGAUUUGUGAUGUUUAUUGAUAAUAUUUCCACUGUUGAGUAUUUGUACAACUUGUCUUUUCUUAGAAAAGAUGUAAUUUAUAUAUCCUGGAAAGAAGCCCAAACAUCACUUUAAUACCAGAGUGAAUGUUACUUCAUUUUGUUUAGCAAAAACACUAGCAAAUGCUAGACCACUGGAGUGUUAGGUAACUUAAAAUUGAUGGCAGUGGUGACCUGAGCACCUCAGACCAGGGGUUUACCCACAUCUCAUCUAGUACUCACUAACAUCUAGGUUAGUGAGUACUUUCAGGUGAUAAGAUUAUAAAAAGUAAACAUGACUUAAAAUAGUUAUUUAGCCAGGGUGCGAUGGCUCACGCCUGGAAUCCCAGCACUUUGGGAGGCCGAGGCGAGCGGAUCACCUGAGGUCGGGAGUUCGAGACCAGCCUGACCAACAUGGAGAAACCCUGUCUCUACUAAAAAUACAAAAUUAGCCGGGCAUGGUGGCACAUGCCUGUAAUUCCAGCUACUUGGGAGGCUGAGGCAGGAGAAUCGCUUGGACCCGGGAGGUGGAGGUUGUGGUGAGCCGAGAUGGCGCCAUUGCACUCCAGCCUGGGCAACAAGAGUGAAAUUCUGUCUCCAAAAAAAAAAAAAAAAAUUUAGAAAUGAAACUUUACAUUAUGCAGUCCAGCUAUUAAUAGUAGGAAUGCCUUUCAUCCUUUCCGCUUGUGAAGUGGAGCGAUGUGGGGAACUUCACAGAAACUUGUUUUCAAAUUGCAUCAGAGGCCAAGGAGCAGCUGCUACUCCUCCUAUGUAAAGGAACACAGAAAGACACUGUCAUAUAAAAUAAACUGAAAAUGAGAUUUUUCCCAUCAGUCUUUUUUUAAUAUUAUGUAAUAAUUUAGAGGGAAGAGAAACAAAUGAUCGUAGCAUAUUAUGUAGGGGGGGAAAUGAACUCAUUAUAGAAUAUCACUAAUUUAAAUAAUUGUCUAUUAAUGCCCCAAAUAAGUUUGAAUCGCUUUUAGUGCAUAUUGAAGUUCACAUUUAGGUAUGCACUUCUGUGAUUAUAUUUUAAGAUGGAGGGUAAGCCUCUUAUUUCUUACUGAUUUAUCUUUGUAUAGUCUAGAUACCAUAUGUUUAUAUGCCCUGUGUUCUUUAUAGUAACAACAGAAUAAUUAGGAAGGUAUUUUGCAAGAUUUUUGAAACAAUGGCUUUCAUUUGAAACCUGCAGUAUUAUUCUUUAAGUAUUGCCUUUUUUUUUUUUUUUUUUCUGAGACAGGGUCUUACUCCAGUUGCCCAGGCUGGAGUGCAGUGGCGCGAUCUUGGUUCACAGCAGCCUUGACCUCCCGGGCUCAGAUUACCCUCCCACCUCAGCCUUCUGAGUAGCUGGGACUACAGGAGCAUGCCACCAUGCCUAAUUUUUUGUAUUUUUAGGAGAGAUGGGGUUUCACCAUGUUGUCCAGGCUGGUCUCAAACACCUGGACACAAGCAGUUUGCCUGCCUCAGCCUCCCAAAGUGCUGGGAUUACAGGCGUGAGCCACCACGCUUGGCCAAUAUUUGCCUUUGUACUGUUGAAGGACUGAGGGACUGAAUUUAGAUGUGGAAGAUGAAAUAAUUGGCUUUCCAUUCAAGGAAUCAGUGUCUUGUGGUGCAGGCAGGUGUGUAGACAACCAGUGCAUCAGUGGCUACUGAGUGUUGUGAUAAAGGGAAGAUCCUGGGGAGAGUGAACUGGCUCAAACUGGCAGGAAGAUGCAGAAGAGGGUCACCAGGGAAGGCUUCCGAGGAGGCGAUGGUGAUGCCUGUGCUCACCCUCCGGUCAUAAGUUGGAGUUGCCUAGUAGAGGAAGGCUGAGAAACCUGUGGUGGAUUGUGGGACCAGCACAUCCUUUGGCAUGACUGAAACAGAGGGCACGUGGAGUGGAGCAGCUGUGGGGCAGCGGGGAGCUAGAACGUGGAAACAUGGAUUUUACUUGAUUUGUUAAAAAUCAGAGUUUGGAACCUCUCCCUCUCCCUCUCCCUCUCCCUCUCCCUCUCCCUCUCCCUCUCCCUCUCCCUCUCCCUCUCCCUCUCCGUCUCCCCACGGUCUCCCUCUCUUUCCACGGUCUCCCUCUGAUGCCAAGCCGAAGCUGGACUGUACUGCUGCCAUCUCGGCUCACUGCAACCUCCCUGCCUGAUUCUCCUGCCUCGGCCUGCCGAGUACUUGCGAUUGCAGGCGCGCGCCGCCACGCCUGACUGGUUUUCAUAUUUUUUUGGUGGAGACGGGGUUUCGCUGUGUUGGCCGGGCUGGUCUCCAGCUCCUAACCGCGAGUGAUCCGCCAGCCUCGGCCUCCUGAGGUGCCGGGGUUGCAGACGGAGUCUGGUUCACUCAGUGCUCAAUGGUGCCCAGGCUGGAGUGCAGUGGCGUGAUCUCGGCUCGCUACAACCUCCACCUCCCAGCCGCCUGCCUUGGCCUCCCAAAGUGCUGAGAUUGCAGCCUCUGCCCAGCCGCCACCCCUUCUGGGAAGUGAGGAACGUCUCUGCCUGGCCGCCCAUCGUCUGGGACGUGAGGAGCCCCUCUGCCUGGCUGCCCAGUCUGGAAAGUGAGGAGCCCCUCUCCCGGCCAGCUGCCCUGUCCGGGAGGGAGGUGGGGGGGUCAGCCCCCCGCCCGGCCAGCCACCCCGUCCGGGAGGGAGGUGGGGGGGUCAGCCCCCCGCCCGGCCAGCCGCCCCGUCCAGGAGGGAGGUGGGGGGGUCAGCCCCCCACCCGGCCAGCCGCCCCUCCCGGGAGGUGAGGGGCGCCUCUGCCCGGUCGCCCCCCCGUCUGGGAGGUGUGCCCAGCAGCUCAUUGAGAACGGGCCAUGAUGACAAUGGCGGUUUUGUGGAGUAGAAAGGGGGGAAAGGUGGGGAAAGGAUUGAGAAAUCGGAUGGUUGCCGUGUCUGUGUGGAGAGAGGUAGACAUGGGAGACUUUUCGUUUUGCUCUGUACUAAGAAAAAUUCUUAUCCUGUUUAUCUGUGACCUUGCCCCCAACCCUGUGCUCUCUGAAACAUGUGCUGUGUCCACUCAGGGUUAAAUGGAUUAAGGGCGGUGCAAGAUGUGCUUUGUUAAACAGAUGCUUGAAGGCAGCAUGCUCCUUAAGAGUCAUCACCACUCCCUAAUCUCAAGUACCCAGGGACACAAACACUGCGGAAGGCCGCAGGGUCCUCUGCCUAGGAAAACCAGAGAACUUCGUUCACUUGUUUAUCUGCUGACCUUCCCUUCACUAUUGUCCUAUGACCCUGCCAAAUCCCCCUCUGCGAGAAACACCCAAGAAUGAACAAUUAAAAAAAAAAAAAAAAAAAAUCAGAGUUUGAAUCUUGUGCCUUGUAUAAACUUUGCUGUCAUGUUGGUUGGGGGGAUUUAUUUAUUCUUGGUUAAAGCAAGUUUUAUAUUUUAAUUUAAUUUAAUUUUUUAAGACAGGAUCUCACUCUGACAGGGUCAAGCUGGAGUACAGCAGUGCGAUCAUAGCUCACUGCAGCCUCGAACUCCUGGGCUGAAGCGAUCCUCCUGCCUUAGCCUUCCAAGUAGCUGGGACUAUAGGUGCAUGCAACCAUGCCUGCCUUUUUUUUUUUUUUUUUAAAGAAAUGGGAUCUUGCUAUCUUGGCCAGGUUGAAUACAAGUUUUAAAAUAAAAUAUUACAUCUAACCAGUUUUCAUUGAGAAGUCUGGGGCUUUUGAAAGAAUUUCCAAGUAUUGAGUACGAAGUUGGUCAACCAAAUAGAGCUGCCCUUGGAAAGCAUGGUUGUUGUCUGGGGGGGCACCCUCAUGGCACUCUUUCCCAUGUGUGUAGGAUGGCAUGGUAGCACAAAGUCAAAAGUAGAUGAAAUUGACGGACGUACCCAAACAGUUUCUAUGUAUUUUUAAGCAUGGUAGAAGGUUAGUCUUUGCAUGUACUCUAGUUCACAGCCUUUUCUAAGAGGCUGAGGCCAAAUUGAAUUUAUCUGGGAACCUGCCACAUCUAUAAAUGCUACAUAGGGUAAUAAAUGGGCCAUUGGCUUCCAAGAAUCAGUGACAGUGCACUUUAGUUCCUAAUUUAGAGUUCAUGAAAAUUAUCCCUUGACAAACAGAUUGUGAAAAAGGAAACCCUAUUAGAUGGAUUCAUCUGUUUUUUUUUUUUGAGAUGGAGUCUUGUGCUGUCACUCAGGCUGGAGUGCGGUGGUGUGAUCUCACCUCACUGCAACCUCUGCCUCCCUGCAACCUCUGCGUUCUGGGUUCUAGCAAUUCUCCUGCCUCAGCCUGCUGAGUAGCUAGGACUACAGGCACUAACCACAACGCCUGGCUAAUUUUUGUAUUUUUUGAUAUAGAUGGGGUUUCACUCUGUUGGACAGGCUGUUCUCAAACUCCAAGUGAUCUGCCUGCUUCAGCCUCCCAAAGUGCUGGGAUUACAGGCAUGAGACACCACGCCUGGCCUGCCUUUUGACAAAUAGGAAGAGGCAAUGUCAGUCUGUCCCACCCAGUAGACUUGGCUUCUCUGCAUGGGGGCUACAUCUUAGUCAUUAUUCUACAUCCUUGGCAUUUGGAAUGGUGCUGGCACAGAGCUGGAGAGGGCUUUGAGGAGAUGCCCUGGUACAGUCCUUGGGAAGGGGCCAAUUCUGGGAUAGCCGAGAAGAGAGAGGAGCAUGGCACCCAACAGAGUGAUGAACGAAGGCGGAAGUUUACGACAGUGUUCACCCAGUGAGGGUUGCACUCCCUCACUGGGUUGUGAAGUCAUUUGAAUGAAUGGUGACCAGCAUUUUUAAUAAAAUGGAAGAAGUUAGAAAAUGUCAGUGUGUCUUAUAUAAUAUAGUUUUUUUUUUUUAAUGUAACCUUUUUUUCAGGGUUCUGUACGUACAGAUGUAUGUGUGUGUACUGGGUUAUAAUGCACAUGGAUUUCUUGUUGAGGGUUAUGGUAAACAGAGUUUGAACUCAGGCACUUCAGGAGAAACACAGAUUAAAGUCCUCAUUUAAAGAAGAAUUACUCUUUUCCAGGUGUGCAAAGCACUGUGGCGGGUGUUGGUGGGCUGGGGGGAAGCAGAGGUAACUGGCAGAGCUCUCCCUCCUCAGGUGCUGCCUCUCUCUAGAGUAGCCUGGGGCUUGGGAUUCCUGUGGACAGCUUCAGGAAGAAAUGCUCAUUCCUUCACCCUGUGGUCUCCACAGGUCUGGAGGAGACUUCUGUGCUGCUCACCAAGAGAAGGAUGUCGUGAUUAAAGCACAGUCCUCUCUCUGUCCACCUUGCUUGGCUCUCCUUGAGGGAGCAGGAUGAAUAGCUUACCUGAUGAGCAGAAUCAGGAAGAGUCUGACACCCAAGGGCCAUUUGACAAGUGGAUGGGGCCACUGCAUUGAAGAAGGCAGGCCUGGAAACCAGCUGCUGGGGUCUCUUGGAAGCUGAGAUUAAGGAAUCGUUUAGAGUUCAGAGGCCUCUUGCAGCUGUCAUGAUGGGGUCUCGUGGUCUGGAUUUCUGGAUUUCUGUAGGGAUGGUAUCACCUAUAGGAGGAAGCCCCAUUUGGACCUCACACUCAAGAUCCUUCUCCAGCACAGUCUACCAAGGAGUCCCAUGCUUGAGGGGAACAGGAAGGGGAUGCCGAGUCCUCAUGGGCUCCAUAAGAGGAUGAUAGUCCUCGUUAGAACCAUCAGAGGACGAUACUCCCUACCUGCCAACGAGUACCAGUGGGAGUGGUUGUUGGGCCAGUGUCUGAUACUUUAUUGCUGGCCAUCAAAUUUGGACUUUGUGAACAGCAGAGAACCUUUUUGCACAGCCAGGGGGAUGGAUGUGACUCUGAUGACAUGAUAAGGAAUUUCUUUCAUAGGGCGCAGUGGGCUUCAAUGUCAGGGCUGAGAGGCUGGAAGUGGCUGCAGUGUGCCCAGAAGUGGAGCAGUAGCCAGUAGUGACCUACAGUUACUAUUCCAUUACUGAUCUGUGAGGGUGUUUAAUUGCUACUGACAUUGUUCGGAUUUUAUGGAAACUAGAUUUUCAACUUUGCCAUCCAUCUGGCUUACAAAACUUGAAAUGCUCCAGAUGUGACUUUGUAUCUUAAUUCCUUUUCACCAACCAGAAGGUGGUGCUGUCGUGCUGGCAACCAAUCUACCUUUCCAACGCCAAGUAAAACAUUGAAAUGCUUAUUCAUGCUAAGUAAUGUGGACAGACUUAGCAUUCGGAUUCGACAGCGUACCUCUCCUGUAGUUGUGGGGAAGCCUUUAGAGUCCGGAGCUGGAGAAGCCUGGCAGAGGGGCCUUGGUUAGGCACUCGCUCAGGGCCACCUUUGCACUCACGGUGAAGUGACACUUUUAUAGGAGUCAGGGCGAAGAUGUCUGCUGAGUGCUGCUUGAUCUGUGUCCAGUCUUCCAUGAAACAGUUAAAGAAUUAUGACUAGAGAUGAGAGAAGUUUCUGUAAAGAGAAAAUGUUUUUUCUCUCGUUUCUUGCAGGGAAAGAUCUCUACCUAGAGGAAAACUCAUGAAUCCAGUUUAUAAGAAAUACUUAUAAAGUAAUCAUUAGUAAUUAAAGUGAUUAAUUGAAUACUCAA